rnacentral:misc_RNA from 1 species
UGGCUCUGGCAUCGAUGAAGAACGCAGCGAAAUGCGAUAAGUAAUGCGAAUUGCAGAAUUCCGUGAGUCAUCGAAUUUUUGAACGCACAUUGCGCCCCCUGGUAUUCCGGAGGGCAUGUCUGUUCGAGCGUCAUUGCACCGAUCAAGCCCGGCUUGUGGUUGGGUUUUCCGUUCGCGGUUGACCCCAAAGAGAGCAGCGGCGCCUGGAAGUCCGUGAUGCAGCGAGCUUUGUGCACGCAUUUCGGCGCUUUUGGGUCCGUCCAACAUUUCUAGGUUGACCUCGGAUCAGAUAGGAUUACCCGCUGA